rnacentral:rRNA from 1 species
GACAGAGGAUGCAAGCGUUAUCCGGAAUGAUUGGGCGUAAAGCGUCUGUAGGUGGCUUUUUAAGUCCGCCGUCAAAUCCCAGGGCUCAACCCUGGACAGGCGGUGGAAACUACCAAGCUGGAGUACGGUAGGGGCAGAGGGAAUUUCCGGUGGAGCGGUGAAAUGCGUAGAGAUCGGAAAGAGCACCAGCGGACGAAAGCACUCUGCUGGGGCCGACACUGACACUGAGAGACGAAAGCUAGGGGAGCGAAUGGG